rnacentral:lncRNA from 1 species
GGGUAAGCGGGUCAAGGUGAGUCCGGGCCCACUCCAGCCAUACCGUCCUAGGGAGGGUUGCCAGAUUGCUGCUCUCUGCCAGGGUCCAAACCCGCACCAGGUCCCCUACCGUCUGUAGUUUCCUGCAGGUGGCAAGCCCAGGGUAUUGGUACUCCAGGCCGGGGCGGCGGCCCCGGUCCGUCGGGUCGGUCCCUCCAGCAUUGGGGAAUAGCGGUUUCCCCAUAAUGCAGUCGCCCAGCACCAGUCACCGGGUGUCAGCGGGUUGGUCCCGAUGUCCUCUGGUGGCGGCAAGUGCCCCAGGGCUCCCACAAUCCGGCUGAUAUUCAGUUCAGUACAGUCCGACGGUCCAGCCCCUUCGCGUCUCCUGGCGGCUCCUUGGUCACCG